UACGGGGGGUGCGAGCGUUGUCCGGAUUCACUGGGCGUAAAGGGCGCGUAGGCGGCUGGCUCAGUCGGGCCUGUAAGUGCGGGGCUCAACCCCGUGAUGGGCUCGGGCACGGGCGUGGCUGGGGCGCGGUCGAGGGAGACGGAAUGCCGGGUGUAGUGUGAAAUGCGUAGAGAUUCGGCGGAACACCGGUGGUGAAGGCGGUCUCCUGGGC
rnacentral:rRNA from 1 species